GCUAUACAUGCAGUCGUACGCUUCUUUUUCCACCGGAGCUUGCUCCACCGGAAAAAGAGGAGUGGCGAACGGGUGAGUAACACGUGGGUAACCUGCCCAUCAGAAGGGGAUAACACUUGGAAACAGGUGCUAAUACCGUAUAACAAUCGAAACCGCAUGGUUUUGAUUUGAAAGGCGCUUUCGGGUGUCGCUGAUGGAUGGACCCGCGGUGCAUUAGCUAGUUGGUGAGGUAACGGCUCACCAAGGCCACGAUGCAUAGCCGACCUGAGAGGGUGAUCGGCCACAUUGGGACUGAGACACGGCCCAAACUCCUACGGGAGGCAGCAGUAGGGAAUCUUCGGCAAUGGACGAAAGUCUGACCGAGCAACGCCGCGUGAGUGAAGAAGGUUUUCGGAUCGUAAAACUCUGUUGUUAGAGAAGAACAAGGAUGAGAGUAACUGUUCAUCCCUUGACGGUAUCUAACCAGAAAGCCACGGCUAACUACGUGCCAGCAGCCGCGGUAAUACGUAGGUGGCAAGCGUUGUCCGGAUUUAUUGGGCGUAAAGCGAGCGCAGGCGGUUUCUUAAGUCUGAUGUGAAAGCCCCCGGCUCAACCGGGGAGGGUCAUUGGAAACUGGGAGACUUGAGUGCAGAAGAGGAGAGUGGAAUUCCAUGUGUAGCGGUGAAAUGCGUAGAUAUAUGGAGGAACACCAGUGGCGAAGGCGGCUCUCUGGUCUGUAACUGACGCUGAGGCUCGAAAGCGUGGGGAGCAAACAGGAUUAGAUACCCUGGUAGUCCACGCCGUAAACGAUGAGUGCUAAGUGUUGGAGGGUUUCCGCCCUUCAGUGCUGCAGCUAACGCAUUAAGCACUCCGCCUGGGGAGUACGACCGCAAGGUUGAAACUCAAAGGAAUUGACGGGGGCCCGCACAAGCGGUGGAGCAUGUGGUUUAAUUCGAAGCAACGCGAAGAA
rnacentral:rRNA from 1 species